rnacentral:rRNA from 1 species
CGAUGAGUGCUAAGUGUUAGGGGGUUUCCGCCCUUUAGUGCUGCAGCUACCGCAUUAAGCACUCCGCCUGGGGAGUACGGCCGCAAGGCUGAAACUCAAAGGAAUUGACGGGGGCCCGCACAAGCGGUGGAGCAUGUGGUUUAAUUCGAAGCAACGCGAAGAACCUUACCAGGUCUUGACAUCCUGUUCCCCUCUGAAGAGAAGGAGUUUCCCCUUCGGGGGCAACGGUGACAGGUGGUGCAUGGUUGUCGUCAGCUCGUGUCGUGAGAUGUUGGGUUAAGUCCCGCAACGAGCGCAACCCUUGUUCUUAGUUGCCAUCAUUUAGUUGGCCACUCUAAGGUGACUGCCGGUGACAAACCGGAGGAAGGUGGGGAUGACGUCAAAUCAUCAUCCCCC